AACAAAAAGAUAUAACAAUUAUAAAUAUUUAUGCACCCAAUAUGGAAGCACCCAAAUACAUAAACCAGUUAAUAACAAACAUAAAGCAACUAAUUGAUAUUAAUAUAAUGAUAGUAGGGGGCUUUAAUACCCCACUUACAUUAAUGGACAGAUCAUCUAAAUAACAAGGAAACAGUGGUUUUAAAUGACACACUGUAUUUAACAGAUAUAUUUAACAGAUGUAUUUAACAGAUAUAUUCAGGACACUACAUAAAACAUCAGAAUACACAUUCUUUUCAAGUGCUUAAGGAACAUUCUCCAGCAUAGAUCACAUAGAGACCACAAAACAAGUCUCAACAAAUUAAAAAAUAUUGAAGUCAUACCAUGCAUGUUUUCUGACCAUAACACUAUGAAACUAGAAGUCAA